rnacentral:lncRNA from 1 species
GACAAAAAUAAGAAAGGUUCGUUCAUCGUCUUGCGAUGAAUUAUUUUUCGUUUUCAGAUUGUUAUCAUUAUUUAUAUAUUUUUUUUAAAUAUGGAUUGUGAGAAUUUUUGUGAGGUUUUAGGAUUGUAUGUGAAUUAGUAAAAUUUAUGUUUGAUUAUUAGAAUUGUAACCGACCGUUCCUAGAGCAAGUGGCAAAGGGCUUGAUGGUUGGUACCCGAGACCCAAGUUCGAAUCCUUGUUGAUUCACAUUUCUAGUUAAGUUUAUUUCUAAAUGAAAUAAACGAAGCGGGUAGCAUACCACCUAUCUCUCAAAAAAAAGAAAAAAAAAAAGAUUAUUAGAAUUGUAUAAAUAGAUUGUUAGAAUUUUUUGAAUUAUAAAUAUUGUAUGUGAUAUGUUUUAAUUUUUAGGUGAUUAUUAAAAUUCUAUAUAGAAAAUAGAAAAAAUAAUCAUCGUUUAAAUUUUAUUAAAUAUACUAAAAAAUUUUACCGCCUUCUAGUUGUUCUUCUAUAUUACUGUUGAGUUAGAAUAAAGCACUAUUAUUUAGCUAAAUAAAAUUUUGAUAAAAUUAUUUAUAAGUUAUAAAUUAACGAA